rnacentral:rRNA from 1 species
GUGGGGAAUAUUGGACAAUGGGCGCAAGCCUGAUCCAGCAAUGCCGCGUGGGUGAAGAAGGCCUUCGGGUUGUAAAGCCCUUUUGUACGGAAAGAAAUCCUGGUGGUUAAUACCCGCCGGGGAUGACGGUACCGUAAGAAUAAGCACCGGCUAACUUCGUGCCAGCAGCCGCGGUAAUACGAAGGGUGCAAGCGUUAAUCGGAAUUACUGGGCGUAAAGCGUGCGUAGGUGGUUUCUUAAGUCUGUCGUGAAAGCCCUGGGCUCAACCUGGGAAUGGCGAUGGAUACUGGGAGGCUAGAGUGCGGUAGAGGAUGGCGGAAUUCCAGGUGUAGCGGUGAAAUGCGUAGAGAUCGGGAGGAACAUCUGUGGCGAAGGCGGCCAUCUGGACCAGCACUGACACUGAGGCACGAAAGCGUGGGGAGCAAACAGGAUUAGAUACCCCAGUAGUCC